GCAUCUCCUAAAACGGAAGGGGGGCACCUUUGGCCCUCCUGUUGCUGCUGGAGUCCAGCUCUCAAUCCAACAACAGCCGGAGGGCUGGAGGUUCCCCACCUCAGGUCUGAAACAAGGAG
rnacentral:precursor_RNA from 11 species